rfam:Gossypium hirsutum cultivar TM-1 unplaced genomic scaffold scaffold712.1, whole genome shotgun sequence
CAUUAAAAAUUUCAUCCAUUUGUAUUGUUAAAAACUAGGAUGGUUGACGGAAUAACUAGAUAAUAACAUGCGAUGUGCCACGUGUACCUCAUGCUGACUUAUAGAGACCAAAUUUUAACAGCAUAAAUAGAUGAAAUUUUUAAUA